rnacentral:rRNA from 1 species
CGGCGUGCCUAAUACAUGCAAGUCGAGCGAGUUUGCCUAUAUGAUUUUAGUGCUUGCACUAAAUGAAACUAGAUACAAGCGAGCGGCGGACGGGUGAGUAACACGUGGGUAACCUGCCCAAGAGACUGGGAUAACACCUGCAAACAGAUGCUAAUACCGGAUAACAACACUAGACGCAUGUCUAGAGUUUGAAAGAUGGUUCUGCUAUCACUCUUGGAUGGACCUGCGGUGCAUUAGCUAGUUGGUAAGGUAACGGCUUACCACGGCAAUGAUGCAUAUCCGAGUUGAGAGACUGAUCGGCCACAUUGGGACUGACACACGGCCCAAACUCCUACGGGAGGCAGCAGUAGGGAAUCUUCCACAAUGGACGAAAGUCUGAUGGAGCAACGCCGCGUGAGUGAAGAAGGGUUUCGGCUCGUAAAGCUCUGUUGGUAGUGAAGAAAGAUAGAGGUAGUAACUGGCCUUUAUUUGACGGUAAUUACUUAGAAAGUCACGGCUAACUACGUGCCAGCAGCCGCGGUAAUACAUAGGUGGCAAGCGUUGUCCGGAUUUAUUGGGCGUAAAGCGAGUGCACGCGGAUCAAUAAGUCUGAUGUGAAAGCCUUCUGCUCAACCGGAGAAUUGCAUCACAAACUGUUGAACUUGAGUGCAGAAGAGGAGAGUGGAACUCCAUGUGUAGCGGUGGAAUGCGUACAUAUAUGGAAGAACACCAGUGGCGAAGGCGGCUCUCUGGUCUGCAACUGACGCUGAGGCUCGAAAGCAUGGGUAGCGAACAGGAUUAGAUACCCUGGUAGUUCAUGCCGUAAACGAUGAGUGUUAAGUGUUGGGAGGUGUCCGCCUCUCAGUGCUGCAGCUAACGCAUUAAGCACUCCGCCUGGGGAGUACGACCGCAAGGUUGAAACUCAAAGGAAUUGACGGGGGCCCGCACAAGCGGUGGAGCAUGUGGUUUAAUUCGAAGCAACGCGAAGAACCUUACCAGGUCUUGACAUCCAGUGCAAACGUAAGAGAUUAGGUGUUCCCUUCGGGGACGCUGAGACAGGUGGUGCAUGGCUGUCGUCAGCUCGUGUCGUGAGAUGUUGGGUUAAGUCCCGCAACGAGCGCAACCCUUGUCAUUAGUUGCCAUCAUUAAGUUGGGCACUCUAAUGAGACUGCCGGUGACAAACCGGAGGAAGGUGGGGAGGAGGUCAAGUCAUCAUGCCCCUUAUGACAUGGGGUACACACGUGUUACAAUGGACGGUACAACGAGAAGAGAACAUGCGAAGGCAAGCGGAUCUCUUAAAGCCGUUGUCACAUUUGGGAGUGUAGGGUGCAACUCGCGUACACGAAGAUGGAAUCGCUAGUAAUCGCGGAUCAGCACGCCGCGGUGAAUACGUUUUCGGGCCUUGUACACACCGCCCGUCACACCACGAGAGUCUGUAACACCCAAAGCCGGUGGGAUAACCUUUAUAGGAGUCAGCCGUCUAAGGUAGGACAGAUGAUUAGGGUGAAGU